GACGGAAGGUGCAAGCGUUGCUCGGAAUCACUGGGCGUAAAGAGCUCGUAGGCGGUUUGUUGCGUCUGCUGUGAAAACCCGAGGCUUAACCUCGUGGCUUGCGGUGGAUACGGGCAGACUUGAGAUAGGCAGGGGAGAAUGGAAUUCCCGGUGUAGCGGUGAAAUGCGCAGAUAUCGGGAGGAACACCGGUGGCGAAGGCGGUUCUCUGGGCCUGACCUGACGCUGAGGAGCGAAAGCGUGGGGAGCGAACAGG
rnacentral:rRNA from 1 species